UCUCCGUUGGUGAACCAGCGGAGGGAUCAUUACAGAGUUGCGAAACUCCCUAAACCAUUGCGAACCCACCACUGAACAGUUGCUUCGGCGGGUGGCGGGCAGGGCCCCCCUAGCUGGGGCCCGCCGCCGCUAAACCCGCCGGAGGCACCCAAACUCUUGUUUGCUACAGGCCUCUCUGAGUUAUAGCACUUGAAUAAAGUCAAAACUUUCAACAACGGAUCUCUUGGUUCUG
rnacentral:misc_RNA from 1 species